AGCUGAUCAGAGAAUGCAGGACUUCUGAUCCCAGAGGCUGGCCCAUAGGAAACAUGACAUGCAGGUCACCAAGGGUUUCACCCUGAGGACCCACAUGGAGCAGAGCAAACCCCGUUGAAGCUGGCCUUCCCAGAAUGCCUCAGGAAAGGGCUUGAGAUGACUCUUCAGCAGCCCUCUCUUGCAAGUGAGUCAGAUGGGACACACGGACCACAUGUCACUCUACUCCAGCAAGGUUUCCUCUGGCUCAGCUAGGAAGAGAGCACUGAACAGCCACGUGUUUCUCCACCACCUUGUUUGGAAUUCCAGGGUGAUUGCCUUGAAAUGG